ensembl:lncRNA
GGAAGAGAGAGCCACACAGAGGCAGGGAAUAGAAGACGGGGUGUAAAAUACAGCGACCUGCCAUCCACACAGUCACAUCUGGGACUCUUGUCAAGCAUGCAUCCCAAGCGCCAGAUCGUGGUCCAUUUUUUCCUCCCCUCUCUUUCUCUCUUUCUCUCUCUCUUUAUUUCAUCUCCUUUCUGUGAUGCCUCCACGAAGAAUCCGAGAAUUUCACCCCGACAAUCCACGAUGAUAUCAAAAAUACAAUCCGUUUCAUUUCUCCCCCCCAGGAGCCUAUACCGCCUGGAAACACGGCCACACAAAAACACCCGAAAGCUCCAUGUUUCCCAUCCUCGCCUCGAUGUCCAUCAGCAUCUCAUCUCAAGCAGCCCCCCCCCCCGCCAACCCCCCUCAAAAAAAAAUACGGCCAGAGAAAGAGCAAUAGGCAGAAUAAUAAAGGCACCUUGCGAUUUUUCUAAUUAGAGAGAAAGACGGGGAGUGCGCAUGGAGAUGUCUUCAAAUCCGCGAGCAAGCGCACAGCAGUGACGGCAUUGAUCCUUGGGUCGGAUAGAUGGUGCUGAUGAUACUGCUGGCGCUGAUUUUCCUCCUCGAAAUGGUCGGCUUGGAGAUUGAACCGACGCAGCAGCUACUUCCGGAAUAGGAAGAAGAAGGAGAAGAAGAGGUGGGGGGAAAAAAAGAAGAAAAUCUCAUCCUGUAAACAAGUCGGUGUUUUUUUUUUCUUUUUUCAUCCGGUCAUCCAUUCGCCUCCGAUCGGGUGACGCGCCUCUCCCAGUGCUCCCAGCAGCUGGGCAGGAAAAGGAGGCUUUAACGCGAGCGCCGUCUCAGCGACGUGUCCGGGGGAGCCGCGAGAAGCGAGAAGAACCGGACCUGGUACCUUCUCCUCCCUGGACGGCUGCGCGUGCGUGUACGUGUACGCGCACGCGUAGUCCAUAUCACGUGCGGUGCGAGAGCAGGGAUUUUGUGGGGACUUUGGUGGAAGAAGUAUAGCUGAGGGAAUACAACAGCGUAAUAGUACUCUGUUACAAGUGAAAAGUCCUGCGUUUGAGGUGAAAUGAUCAACAUAUUGUUAAAAGUGUGUUUGCCUGCUCAUCAUCACACUGACCCAUUUUACAAUGGUGCAUAUUAUGUCACUGGGAUAUAAUUAUUGAUGAUUUUAUUUAUACACUGCUGGGUAAUUCCAUUCACUCUGUUUAUCAGCUAUUGUUAAUAUUAUUUUGCCAUGGACUAAUAAAAAUACAACCCUCUUAUUCAACCACUAACUGUCUUCGAAUGUCAUCAGGUUAAAACACCUCUUUGAAACAUAAGAAAAUAACCUUGAGUUGUAUUAGACUGCAAUGGUUUUUUGCUGUCAAAACAAAGGCUACUGACGUGAGGCAUCAGUUGCAUUUUCAUGGGAGCUUUUUAUUUUAGUUAGUUAGUACAUUUGUACUUUAAUUAAGUCAAACACCUGAAUACUUCCUUCAUUACCUGAGGAACCUGAACGUUCUAGUAGCCAAAGCCCAAGUCCCUCUGCUGAGACAGCGUGAAACCACAUAAUACAAAGUAUACGGAAAGUUAAAAAAAAAAGAGCAGUUCAUCUCAGAGCAGUUCAUCACGAUGAUGAGAGGUAAUUAUGGAAACAUCAGAGAUACAUGGUCAGAGGUCACUUUAGUCGCAGUAUUGCCUCUCUCUCUCUCUCUCUCUCUCUCUCUCUUUUCACACUCUGCUUUCUCCUCCAUGGCAACACCUCCCCCCUGUCACAUCGAUCUUGACUGAUUUUUCACACUCUGCUUGUUACAGAUAUGGAUCUGCUUUAAGCAUAACACUUGAUUUCAUGCGAUGCCACAACUAUUCUACCAUGGCAUUGUUCCCUAUACACAAUAUAUAACAAUACACACACACACACACACACACACAUACAGAAAUGUUGACCUUACGUGGAUUCCACAGGACAAAGACGCUUUAAACAUGUGAUGAUCUUAUAGAUUAAGACCUUAAACGUCACUAAAAUGCACCUUACACAUUAAUGCAACAAUGAUCGGAUUUGAAAAAACAUUUCUGACAGUAAAACACCGACACUAAACAUUUAAACGGCAAUGAUUACUUUUACUUUCCAUACGCAAGUCAAUACUUUUCAUCAGGGUUUAGAAUGCAGUACUUUUGUUUGUGGUGCAGUAUUUUCACAGUUGAUGAUGAUUAUAGUUUUAGUAGAUGAUCUGGAUUCUUUCAUCCUGUACUGUGUUCAGGCUCUUGUAAAGAUCAAACACAGCCUAGUUGUUUAAAGACUUUUGACCAUCGUAACAGCCGCUAUAAGCGUAUACUAC